CCGUGCUAGACGGGGAAUUAGCGGAGCCUUGUAACCUGCAACCCGCUACAGCAGGGUCGAAUUCCUAGCCUGAGGGCUUAUGCUUUAAGGUCUGACUUAAAUAAGUGGUGUUGAAGUUUGGGUCCUACGCAAUAAGACAUCUUGAACCGUGUCAGGUCUGGAAGGAAGCAGCACUAAGGGAUUAAUCUUAUGUGCCGUAGGGUAGCCUGAAUGGAGCUAACUGUUUAGGUAACGCUUGGAGGAUAUUCUCGAAGGCAGGUGCACGG
rnacentral:SRP_RNA from 1 species